UGGGGAAUCUUCCGCAAUGGGCGAAAGCCUGACGGAGCAACGCCGCGUGAGUGAAGACGGCCUUCGGGUUGUAAAGCUCUGUUAUUCGGGAAGAAAGAGUCGCUUGUGAACAAUGAGCGAAAGUUACGGUACCGAAAGAGAAAGCCACGGCUAACUACGUGCCAGCAGCCGCGGUAAUACGUAGGUGGCAAGCGUUGUCCGGAAUUAUUGGGCGUAAAGAGCGCGUAGGCGGUCGUGCAAGUCAAUCUUAGAAGUGCGGGGCUUAACCCCGUGAUGGGAUAGAAACUGGGCGACGGGAGUAUCGGAGAGGACAGUAGAAUUCCUAGUGUAGCGGUGGAAGGCGUAGAGAUUAGGAAGAAAAACGGUGGCGAAGGCGACUUUAUAGACGAAAAAUGACGCUGAGGCGCGAAAGCGGGGGGAGCAAACAGG
rnacentral:rRNA from 1 species